rnacentral:rRNA from 1 species
AACAAACGCUGGCGGCGUGCCUAAUACAUGCAAGUCGAACGGGGAAAGCUUUCGGGUGAGUACUAGUGGCGCACGGGUGAGGAACGCGUGGAUAAUCUGCCUUAGAGUGGGGGAUAACUAGUCGAAAGAUUAGCUAAUACCGCAUAAGACCACAGGAGCUGCGGCUCAAGGGGUCAAAGGUUUUUCGCUCUAAGAUGAGUCCGCGUAAGAUUAGCUAGUUGGUGAGGUAACGGCUCACCAAGGCGACGAUCUUUAACUGGGCUGAGAGGAUGAUCAGUCACACUGGAACCGAGACACGGUCCAGACUCCUACGGGGGGCAGCGGUAGGGAAUAUUGCACAAUGGAGGAAACUCUGAUGCAGCGACGCCGCGUGAGUGAUGAAGGCCUUCGGGUCGUAAAGCUCUGUCGCAGGGGAAUAACACAAUGAAGGUACCCUGUAAGAAAGGAUCGGCUAACUUCGUGCCAGCCGCCGCGGUAAGAC